GGCGGAUGUGGCCAAGUGGAUUAAGGCAGUGGAUUNGUGAAUCC
rnacentral:tRNA from 5 species